rnacentral:rRNA from 1 species
GCGGACGGGUGAGUAACGCGUGGGUAACCUGCCCUGUACACACGGAUAACAUACCGAAAGGUAUGCUAAUACGAGAUAAAAUACUUUUAUCGCAUGGUGGAAGUAUCAAAGCUUUUGCGGUACAGGAUGGACCCGCGUCUGAUUAGCUAGUUGGUAAGGUAACGGCUUACCAAGGCGACGAUCAGUAGCCGACCUGAGAGGGUGAUCGGCCACAUUGGAACUGAGACACGGUCCAAACUCCUACGGGAGGCAGCAGUGGGGAAUAUUGCACAAUGGGCGAAAGCCUGAUGCAGCAACGCCGCGUGAGCGAUGAAGGCCUUCGGGUCGUAAAGCUCUGUCCUCAAGGAAGAUAAUGACGGUACUUGAGGAGGAAGCCCCGGCUAACUACGUGCCAGCAGCCGCGGUAAUACGUAGGGGGCUAGCGUUAUCCGGAAUUACUGGGCGUAAAGGGUGCGUAGGUGGUUUCUUAAGUCAGAGGUGAAAGGCUACGGCUCAACCGUAGUAAGCCUUUGAAACUGGGAAACUUGAGUGCAGGAGAGGAGAGUGGAAUUCCUAGUGUAGCGGUGAAAUGCGUAGAUAUUAGGAGGAACACCAGUUGCGAAGGCGGCUCUCUGGACUGUAACUGACACUGAGGCACGAAAGCGUGGGGAGCAAACAGGAUUAGAUACCCUGGUAGUCCACGCCGUAAACGAUGAGUACUAGCUGUCGGAGGUUACCCCCUUCGGUGGCGCAGCUAACGCAUUAAGUACUCCGCCUGGGAAGUACGCUCGC